GCCUCCCUAGCUCAGUGGUAGAGCAUCCGCCUUGUAAGCGGAAGGUCGUCAGUUCAAUCCUGACGGGGGGCUCUA
rnacentral:tRNA from 1 species